AGUGAACGCUGGCGGUAGGCCUAACACAUGCAAGUCGAACGGCAGCACAGUAAGAGCUUGCUCUUACGGGUGGCGAGUGGCGGACGGGUGAGGAAUACAUCGGAAUCUACUUUUUCGUGGGGGAUAACGUAGGGAAACUUACGCUAAUACCGCAUACGACCUACGGGUGAAAGCAGGGGAUCUUCGGACCUUGCGCGAUUGAAUGAGCCGAUGUCGGAUUAGCUAGUUGGCGGGGUAAAGGCCCACCAAGGCGACGAUCCGUAGCUGGUCUGAGAGGAUGAUCAGCCACACUGGAACUGAGACACCGUCCAGACUCCUACGGGAGGCAGCAGUGGGGAAUGUUGGACAAUGGGCGCAAGCCUGAUCCAGCCAUACCGCGUGGGUGAAGGAGGCCUUCCGGUUGUAAAGCCCUUUUGUUGGGAAAGAAAAGCAGCAGGUUAAUACCCCGCUGUUCUGACGGUACCCAAAGAAUAAGCACCGGCUAACUUCGUG
rnacentral:rRNA from 1 species